rnacentral:rRNA from 1 species
GACGAACGCGGGCGGCGUGCUUAACACAUGCAAGUCGAACGGAAAGGCCUCUUCCGGAGGUACUCGAGUGGCGAACGGGUGAGUAACACGUGGGCAAUCUGCCCUGCACUUCGGGAUAAGCCUGGGAAACUGGGUCUAAUACCGGAUAGGACCUUAAGACGCAUGUCUUUUGGUGGAAAGCUUUUGCGGUGUGGGAUGGGCCCGCGGCCUAUCAGCUUGUUGGUGGGGUGACGGCCUACCAAGGCGACGACGGGUAGCCGGCCUGAGAGGGUGUCCGGCCACACUGGGACUGAGAUACGGCCCAGACUCCUACGGGAGGCAGCAGUGGGGAAUAUUGCACAAUGGGCGCAAGCCUGAUGCAGCGACGCCGCGUGGGGGAUGACGGCCUUCGGGUUGUAAACCUCUUUCACCAUCGACGAAGGUCCGGG